rnacentral:lncRNA from 1 species
UCCCUUUGUUGCCACCUCCUCUCCUUGGGCGUGGAUCCUUCUUAGGCAUCCUACCUGCUAGUGUGAGGUGUCACAUCAUCACAUCUCAUCUCUCGAUUGAUUAAGUUGCGAAGCCAUUUGGUUUGGAGUUCAUCCUACUUUUCUGCGACAUCUGACGUGCAUGCGAAGUAGAGGGUUUGCAUAUCCAGGACUCUGUAAAUGUUUAUAUCAGAUAAUUUGAGAUUUGAUCCCUGGUUCCACUAUGAUUCAGAUAAGGAUUUGAUCCUUAAACAAGUGAAAUAUUAAAAAAAAUUUUAGAUGCAACCUGGGUAUUCUGGAGGAAAACUGUUCCCUUCCCUUCACCAAUAACUGUUAGGUGAGGGACCCAAUGACGGUCUUGCACUUACUUGUGAAUGGUGGGUCGGACUUAACUACAGAAUGUGGUCAACAAAUAUCAGGUGAGCCCAUAUGACUUAGAGAUCAAGUCACUGCAAUAUGUUUAGAGAAGCAUCUGGGCAAAAGAUGUUGGGAAAUAUGUCCCAAAAGCCAAUCGUCAACCUGUUGACGGU